GCCCGUAGCUCAGUUGGCAGAGCGGUGGGACGGUACCCCACGGUCCUGGGUUCUAGUCGCGGCGGUGGCU